rnacentral:tRNA from 1 species
GCGCCCGUAGCUCAAUCGGAUAGAGCAACUGCCUUCUAAGCAGUAGGUUGCGUGUUCGAUUCACGCCGGGCGCG